CAGUCGUACCGACGAGAAAUCAACUUAUCGUGUGUUAACUUGUGGGCGUGCGUGAGUUUCGGCCUCGCUGUUUGCAUGUUUGUGCGCUUUGGGUGUACUUUUUCGUAUGGUUGGCCAACAUCAGUUUCGAUCACUAUAAAAUGACUGGCGGAAUGUAGCUUCGAUUUCGGUUGAAGUGUUAUAGCCUUGGUAGAUGUGGUAAUUGGGGACUGAGGAUUGCAACGAUAUCCUUUGGGCUAUCCGUCUCGGCCCCUGAAAGUUGCUUGGGGUGCUGAAGCUUGCUUAUGUUA
rnacentral:rRNA from 1 species